AAGACGAAAUGAAAAUGGAGAAAAAUAAAAACAAAACGAGAAUGAAUAGCGAAGAGAGAGAAAGCCCAAGGGAAAUGAAGAGGCAGCCAACUCCAAGUCCAAGAAACCCUCUCCGGCGUCCUUCUCCGGCUGUCCUCCGCCGCAGCCUCCAUUGAAGCUGUGGGUAUAUAUUCCGCGCCUCAGAGUGAAAAUACAUCAGGAAUCAGAAGUAAGUGAACUCAAAUGCCAAGGCAGUGAAGAACCAAUGGAUGCUUCAAGGGCAACUACGGAACAAUUAAUGGAGAGUGGAGAAGAUGCAAAAACUGCCAAAGGUGCAAAAUGGAUGGCAAAGAAGAGGAAAAGGGCUGUUGAAAGCAUAGCAGCAUUUUGCUAUGAAGCUGGGAUUCCUUUUAAUAUUCUUUGCAUAGAGAGUUUCCAGUUAAUGUUAGAUGAAAUUGGAAAAUUUGGCCCUGGCUUGCAGGGGCCCUCUAUGGAUGAGCUUCGAGAGAAUUUAUUGCAGGAGCAUGUUUCAGCUAUAACUGAUAAAGUUCGAUGGCUGAAGGAUUCAUUGGAGUUUGGGGGAUGUUCUAUUAUUCUUGACACUUGGCUUGAUGAAAAUGGAAGGCGCCUUAUGAUGCUGGGAGCCCACUCUAUUAUUGGUUUGACUUUUAUUCGAUCCAUCCAUCUUUCAUCAGAGGCUUAUAAUGAUGCAUAUAAGUUUCGACUGCUUGACUCGUGUAUUGAUGAAAUUGGUGAGAAAAAUGUGGUGCAAGUUGUCUCAAACAUUGAACCAAACAGCUUAAUGGCAACAAUGCUUACUGCAAAGAGACCUAGCAUAUUUUGGACGCAGUGUGCUGCACGUUGUAUUGACUCGAUGCUUGAAGACAUUGAAAAUAUUACUUUUAUCAAGAAUAUAAUAGAGGAUGCAAGGUUAAUCACUGCUUUUAUAUAUGGAUGUGCACAUUUGUUGGACAUGAUGCACAAGUUCACCAACCAAAGGGAUAUAGUCCAAACUGGGAUUACGCAUUCCAUCACAUCCUACUUGAACUUGAAGAGCCUUUAUGAUAAGAGGUUUGAGUUGAAGACUAUGUUUGUUUCUAGGGAUUGGGAGGACAGCAAGUGGUCCAAGGAAGCUGUGGGUGAGAAAUUCUAUAAUCUAGUAGUAAACAAGAUGUUCUGGCAUAGAGUGCUAUAUGCUAUCAGCAGCCUGGAGCCAAUAGUGGAUGUUCUGAGGUCAGACAGUGGGGUACUAUCUAUGGCAUCCAUUUAUGGUGAUCUUGCAAAUGCUAAAAAGGAAAUUGCAUUACGGUUUUUAAACAUGGAGAAGCAUUAUCUGCCUAUAUGGAAUAUCAUAGACAGGAGAUGCAUGCAAUGCCAGUCUGAAGACACCAUUGCACUUAGCUGGUUAUUAUUUGAAUCCCUUCUUCUACUUCCACAACAAAAAUGAAAUUGAGAAUCUUGGAAUAUUCACAGAUGCACUUGUUGAGUGUAUGCUUAAUAUGUACAAAGAUCAGUCUACUCAAGAAAAGAUUCUGGAUCAGUUGGAACUUUACAAGACUUGUUCAAUAACUGAAAUAGUAGACUAUUCAAAUUUUGGGAAUAUUAAAAACUUGGAUCGUGAUGCAGAUUUUUGGUGGAUGCUUCACAGAGCAUUAGGAGAGUUGAAAAAAAUGGCAGAGAGGAUUUUGCGUUUAACUUGUGGUUCCUUUGGCUGUGAGAGAAGUUGGAUUGAAAUGAUCCAUAAGAAGAAGUCAUCUCAGUUUACAUGGAAGCAAUUCUAUGAUUCAGCAUUUGUAAUGGUCAAUGGGAGGUUGAAACGGAAAGGUGAAAGGGAACACAGUGAUCCUAUACUUCCAUAUCUCCCUGAUGAAGAUGAACCAUAUGUCUGGCUGGCUGAGGCUGACAUGCAUGAGAAUGAUAAUGCUCUAAUAGAUGUGCAUAAAGAUGAAAUUAGAGUUAUGCUGACAGCGCCAAGCAUCAAUGGUGAAGAAGGGCCAAGUCAUUACAGCGGAAAAGGAUCGCCAUGCGAUGCUUCAUGCCCAAAGCAAGCAAAGGAACCAUGGCACGAUGGUUUGUCAUUAGAAGAAGAGCAUGAGGGAAGAUGCGAAGAUGAACAAACACAUUGUAGCAAAAGGAAGAAACCAUGCAAUGUUUCAUGUUCAAAGCUAUCAAAGAAUCCAUCACGUGUUGCGGGUUACAGAUCAAGAAAAGAAGAACCAAGGCACUCUAGCAAAAAGAGCAAACCUUCAUCAGUUCCAUGUUCAAAGCAAGCAAAGGGGCCAUUGCACUCCAAAGAUCUUGAUGAUGUCAUGUGGUGACGCACAUUGAGCCGUCAACAUCGGCACACAAAGGACAGGCUACAGUAGAGCCAAGACGCGUUAUAGGAGGCUCAAUCAUCUCAGGUUUUUUCAAUUAAUUUAGCAUGCAUGUUAUCCCUUUUGAAUAGCUGCUUGUUUCAUGGGUUGUUAUCUAGGAGAAUUGCUAGGUGGAUUGUUAUGCUCCUGGGAGGCGAAGCAUUCAGCAAGCUGUGUUGAUGAUCGGUCAUUGCCUCCCGUGUUGCAGCAUCAUGCUUACUAGAGAAGUGUGACAAUUGCCAUUUUGUGAUCCAUAACAUAUUAUCACGUAGGUCUUAGUCUUACAAUCCUGAAGGUCUGGGCAUGCAUGUGGGUUUCUUUUGUUAAUUAGGAUGUUACUAGUUAGUGACUGUCUGGCAGACUGCAUGUGUAAUCAUUCCGUGAUGGUCUCAUGGCUAGUUGAUGGAUAGCUACUAGAUCAUCUUGUGGGUUUUAACUUUUAACGCUUGAGAACAAGAGGAUCGAAGCGGCGGAGGUGGAGGAUCUAAAACAGUUUCAUUUUGUUUCAGAAUUUCAACUCAAACGUCAAGAAUGCAAGAAUAUCAAAUUUUGCAUUCCCAAAUUGAAUCUGUAUAUUCUAACUACUAUUAUUCUUGAAAAAAAUUACAUUGUUGAAUCA